rnacentral:rRNA from 1 species
UACGUAGGUGGCAAGCGUUAUCCGGAAUUAUUGGGCGUAAAGAGCGCGCAGGUGGUUGAUUAAGUCUGAUGUGAAAGCCCACGGCUUAACCGUGGAGGGUCAUUGGAAACUGGUCGACUUGAGUGCAGAAGAGGGAAGUGGAAUUCCAUGUGUAGCGGUGAAAUGCGUAGAGAUUAGGAGGAACACCAGUGGCGAAGGCGACUUCUGGACUGUAACUGACGCUGAGGCACGAAAGCGUGGGGAGGCAAACAGGAUUAGAUACCCU